UGAGGAAUAUUGCGCAAUGGGGGCAACCCUGACGCAGCAACGCCGCGUGAGUGAGGAAGGUUUUCGGACCGUAAAGCUCUGUCGAGCGGGAAGAAAUGCAUGGUGGCUAAUAUCCAUCAUGCUUGACGGUACCGCUAAAGGAAGCACCGGCUAACUCCGUGCCAGCAGCCGCGGUAAUACGGGGGGUGCGAGCGUUGUUCGGCAUUAUUGGGCGUAAAGAGCGUGUAGGCGGCUGAAUAAGUCAGAUGUGAAAUCCCUGGGCUUAACCCAGGACGUGCAUUUGAAACUAUUCGGCUAGAGUAGGGGAGAGGAAAGUGGAAUUCCUGGUGUAGAGGUGAAAUUCGUAGAUAUCAGGAGGAACACCGGUGGCGAAGGCGACUUUCUGGCCCUAUACUGACGCUGAGACGCGAGAGC
rnacentral:rRNA from 1 species